rnacentral:rRNA from 1 species
CUAAGAAUAUUCCGCAAUGGACGAAAGUCUGACGGAGCGACGCCGCGUGGAUGAAGAAGGCCGAAAGGUUGUAAAAUCCUUUUGCUGAUGAAGAAUAAGUGCGGGAGGGAAUGCCCGUAUGAUGACAUUAGUCGGUGAAUAAGCCCCGGCUAACUACGUGCCAGCAGCCGCGGUAACACGUAGGGGGGCAAGCGUUGUUCGGAAUUAUUGGGCGUAAAGGGCAUGUAGGCGGUUUCGUAAGCCUGGUGUGAAAUCCUGCAGCUUAACUGUAGAAUUGCAUCGGGUACUGCGAGACUUGAAUCACAGAGGGGAAACUAGAAUUCCAGGUGUAGGGGUGGAAUCUGUAGAUAUCUGGAAGAAUACCGGUGGCGAAGGCGGGUUUCUAGCUGAUGAUUGACGCUGAGGUGCGAAAGUGCGGGGAGCAAACAG